UACGGAGGGUGCAAACGUUGCUCGGAAUCAUUGGGCGUAAAGCGCACGUAGGCGGUCGGCUAUGUCGGAUGUGAAAGCCUCGGGCUUAACCCGAGAAGGGCAUCCGAAACUGGCCGGCUUGAGUACGGAAGAGGGUCUCGGAAUUCACGGUGUAGAGGUGAAAUUCGUAGAUAUCGGGAGGAACACCAGUGGCGAAGGCGGAGACCUGGGCCGAUACUGACGCUGAGGUGCGAAAGCGUGGGGAGCAAACAGG
rnacentral:rRNA from 1 species